AAGUCGAGCGAACGGACGAGAAGCUUGCUUCUCUGAUGUUAGCGGCGGACGGGUGAGUAACACGUGGAUAACCUACCUAUAAGACUGGGAUAACUUCGGGAAACCGGAGCUAAUACCGGAUAAUAUUUUGAACCGCAUGGUUCAAAAGUGAAAGACGGUCUUGCUGUCACUUAUAGAUGGAUCCGCGCUGCAUUAGCUAGUUGGUAAGGUAACGGCUUACCAAGGCAACGAUGCAUAGCCGACCUGAGAGGGUGAUCGGCCACACUGGAACUGAGACACGGUCCAGACUCCUACGGGAGGCAGCAGUAGGGAAUCUUCCGCAAUGGGCGAAAGCCUGACGGAGCAACGCCGCGUGAGUGAUGAAGGUCUUCGGAUCGUAAAACUCUGUUAUUAGGGAAGAACAUAUGUGUAAGUAACUGUGCACAUCUUGACGGUACCUAAUCAGAAAGCCACGGCUAACUACGUGCCAGCAGCCGCGGUAAUACGUAGGUGGCAAGCGUUAUCCGGAAUUAUUGGGCGUAAAGCGCGCGUAGGCGGUUUUUUAAGUCUGAUGUGAAAGCCCACGGCUCAACCGUGGAGGGUCAUUGGAAACUGGAAAACUUGAGUGCAGAAGAGGAAAGUGGAAUUCCAUGUGUAGCGGUGAAAUGCGCAGAGAUAUGGAGGAACACCAGUGGCGAAGGCGACUUUCUGGUCUGUAACUGACGCUGAUGUGCGAAAGCGUGGGGAUCAAACAGG
rnacentral:rRNA from 1 species